AGUGAACGCUGGCGGUAGGCCUAACACAUGCAAGUCGAACGGCAGCACAGUAAGAGCUUGCUCUUACGGGUGGCGAGUGGCGGACGGGUGAGGAAUACAUCGGAAUCUACUUUUUCGUGGGGGAUAACGUAGGGAAACUUACGCUAAUACCGCAUACGACCUACGGGUGAAAGCAGGGGAUCUUCGGACCUUGCGCGAUUGAAUGGGCCGAUGUCGGAUUAGCUAGUUGGCGGGGUAAAGGCCCACCAAGGCGACGAUCCGAAGCUGGUCUGAGAGGAUGAUCAGCCACACUGGAACUGAGACACGGUCCAGACUCCUACGGGAGGCAGCAGUGGGGAAUAUUGGACAAUGGGCGCAAGCCUGAUCCAGCCAUACCGCGUGGGUGAAGAAGGCCUUCGGGUUGUAAAGCCCUUUUGUUGGGAAAGAAAAGCAGCAGGUUAAUACCCCGCUGUUCUGACGGUACCCAAAGAAUAAGCACCGGCUAACUUCGUG
rnacentral:rRNA from 1 species